UGGUCAUAGUAUCUACAUUCUCGACAGAGAGAGACUCCCUUGCAAGGGAAAUAGAAUUUCUCUCUGGCCUUCGUAUACUUCCAAGGAGUGGUGCUCCUCUCCAAAUGAUGAUUCAGGUCAUCCUCUCUGAUAUAUUGUCGUAAGAAAACCAGUCUCCAUCUUCUGAAGAGUGAACAGAAAGAGGAAUGUCGUGACGCCCUGCUGGUACAGUGUCCUCAUUACUUUUCUAUUGCUGUGACAGAACAACAAGACCGAGG